rnacentral:lncRNA from 10 species
AAGAGAAAUGCCUGCCCAAUUCCCAGAGAGCUUACAUCUGUUUCUCAUACAGCGCAGCCACCCAUGCUGCUUCAACUAUUCCCUACUGCUGGCCAGGCCACCACUUUAUUGAUUUUUUUCCCUUGCCCUUUUAAAAAGAUGAAAGUUCCUAAAAGCUUUUUGCAUGUGCAUGUGCAUGUGCGUGUGUGCGUUGGUGACGGCAACAGUUUAGUUUAGCAAACCAAGCAGCAGCCAGGAUCAAAAAGCCAGUACAAUUUCGCAUAGACGAGCAUUGUCUUCAGGAAAAAUAAGCACAGAUGGAACCAAAGCUAUGACAGAACACACCCCACAGGCGGUGGGCUUCACUGACGGUUCUAUGCUCAGAAACCAACUCCGGGGAAUUCAGAUAAUAAUCUCUUCUUCGGACAGAAAAAGGAAAAAUUGCCUCAUCCACAAUUGGACCCUUACAAGGAGGACAGGUGUGAUUAUUAGGAUUUGGCCUAAAGAAUAGAUUGAAGCGGAUGAUACACUUCAAAAGAAUGUGUUCCCAAUCUCAAGACCUCUCUGGGGAGUCUCACAAGUGUCAAGUUUAUCCUGUGAUCCCUGCUGAGAUAUGGCCAAAUGUAAAGGCCAGGACCAGCUGGGUGUUUACAUGACAUAUAAAUAACAACACAAACCUGGUCAAUUAACCUCUUUGCUGCUUGGUUUAAGUGAGUCCCACAACCUGCCUAAUGAAGAGAAAGAAACUCCCUCAAUCCUGCUAAGAGGUUAGAGGACAACGUUGAGAAACUGAUUUGAGAGGAAUUGAAUUUGCUAUUCUGGGUUCACAACUCCAGCCCUAAUCCUGAUAGCGCAGCAAGAAGGGCUGCCAUAAUCUUGAAGGGUCCCUUUGAGAGAGUGUGGGACUGCAGUGAGGAUGGAACAGGGCAGCUUUCCCAGGCAGGGGAUGUUGUCUUGGUUAUUCACGGAUCUGCAUCACCGCCCUUCCUGGAACCUGGCAGGCGGCAGUACAGAGCUGGUGAAGGAGGAAUGAAGGAGGAAGCCAUGCUGCACUGAUGAUGGUUUGGCGAUGCUGGUCUACACCAGAAAAAUUGGAUUCUCCCUAGAAAAGAGAUUUGAAAUUCCCUGGAGAUUUCUGACCAUGUCCUUUGGAAGAAAUAUUCAUACAGCCAGGGAAACCUUAAAAUCAACUUGCUUUUAUUCUUGCCCAAAAUUAAAGGCUUGCCUACCAACAACUUUCCUCUCAAAAAUUGACAUCUAUGAUUGCCAAUCUUUUAGUAGGUUUUUAUGUUUGUUUGUUUGUUUUGUUUUAUUUUGUUUUGUUUUUUAAACAGGGUCUGUCACCGGGAUGGAGUGCAGUGGUGUAAUCACAGCUCACUGCAGCCUCUACCUCCCGAGCUCAAGUGAUUCUCCCGUCUCAGCCUCCCGAGUAGCUGGGACUACAGGCUUACACCACCACACCCGGCUAAUUAAAAACAUUUUUUUGUAGAGAUGGAAGUCUCCCUAUGUUGCCCAGGCUGGUCUCAAACUCCUAAGCUCAAGCAAUCCUCCUACCUUGGCCUCCCAAAGUGCUGAGAUUACAAGCAUGAGCCACCGUGCCUGGUCUAGCAUGAUUUUUAUCACGACUUUUUCUGUCUUUUAAGAUUGGAAAGGCAUAAAUCAAUAUUUCAGGCCGAGCAGCGCUUGUUUGCCAUCAUUCAUCCAGCAGAGGUCUCUCUUGCCCACCAUACGCUCAGAAGAGUCCCUUGCUUGUGUGUGUGUAUUCAGUACCAGGGGCGUGACCGUCAGGCUGCAGAAUGAAGAAAUACGGACAAAGACUUUCAGGCCUGAGAGACUAAGGAGAAAAGAAUCUGUGGCUUUGGAGAGCAAGGCCUUCUCCUGAAGCCACAGGACAGACCAACGAGGAAUCAUGCUGCCCCACGGCCAAGUUCUGAUAUGACACCAAGGGAGGCAGGCAUGGGUUUCCAUACUGAGGGAAGCAAUCUGGUGAGGAUGGAGCUGGAUCAAAAAAGACAUGUUAAAAAUAAGACCCUCGGCUGGGCACGGUGG